AGGGUAUAUGGUGGAUAUCUUGGCAGUAAGAGGCGAUGAAGGACGUUUGCUAGGUAGCGAUAAGCCACGACGAGUGAUCAAGCAUGCUUUGACUCGUGGAUUUCCGAAUGGGGCAACCCGGCUAGUAGAAAUACUAGAUCACUGCAUGGUGAGUUAAGUAGCCAUGACAGAGCGAACGAGGGGAACUGAAACAUCUAAGUACCCUCAGGAAGAGAAAUCAAAAGAGAUUCCGUAAGUAGCGGCGAGCGAACAUGGAAUAGCCCAAACCAGUAAGUUUACUUACUGGGGUUGUAGGACCUACAUAAGACUCAAUAACGAUAGAAGAACUGUUUGGGAAGGCAGGCCAAAGAGGGUGAAAGCCCCGUAAUCGAAAUUGUUAGAGAGUUGGUGGGUAUCCUGAGUAGGACGGGACACGUGAAAUCUUGUCUGAAUCUGGGGAGACCACUCUCCAAGGCUAAAUACUCCUUACUGACCGAUAGUGAACAAGUACCGUGAGGGAAAGAUGAAAAGAACCCCGAUAAGGGGAGUGAAAUAGAAUUUGAAACCAUAUACUUACAAACAGUGAGAGAGCUAUUGUAAAGCUUGAUCACGUACCUUUUGCAUUAUGAUUCAGCGAGUUACGAUGUGUAGCAAGGUUAAGCCGUUGCAGGUGUAGCCGUAGGGAAACCGAGUCUUAAUAGGGCGUUUUAGUUGCAUGUCGUAGACCCGAAACGGGAUGAGCUAUCCAUGAGCAGGUUGAAGCGGGGGUAAAACCUCGUGGAGGACCGAACCCAUAUAGGUUGAAAACUGUUGGGAUGACUUGUGGAUAGGGGUGAAAGGCCAAUCAAAUUCCGUGAUAGCUGGUUCUCUCCGAAAUGCAUUUAGGUGCAGCCUUUAGUUGACACUGUCGGGGGUAUAGCACUGAAUUGGCUAGGGGGCUUACCGGCUUACCAAACCAUAUCAAACUCAGAAUACCGAUAAGUGAUGCUAAGGAGUGAGACUAUGGGUGCUAAGGUCCAUAGUCGAAAGGGAAAGAGCCCAGACCAUCAGCUAAGGUCCCUAAAUAAUCGCUAAGUGGGAAAGGUUGUGGGAUUACUUUGACAUCCAGGAGGUUGGCUUAGAAGCAGCCACCCUUUAAAGAAAGCGUAAUAGCUCACUGGACUAGUGAUCCUGCGCCUAAAAUUCAACGGGGCUUAAGUGAUUUACCGAAGCUAUGGAUUGGGAUUUAUCUCAAUGGUAGGAGAGCAUUGUGUAUGCCGAUGAAGAUAUACCGUAAGGAGUAUUGGAGGUAUCACAAGAGCUGAUGCUGAAAUGAGUAACGAUAAGGAACGUGAGAAUCGUUCCCGCCGAAAAUCUAAGGGUUCCUGGGCCAGGUGACUCCGCCCAGGGUUAGUCGGAUCCUAACGCGAGGCCGAAAGGCGUAGUGGAUGGAUAACAGGUUAAUAUUCCUGUACUUAGUAAUUAUCGUUCGACUUGAUGGAGUGACGGAGAAAGGUAGUGAAGCCACACACUGGUUAGUGGUUUAAGCGAGUAGGUGGGAGACUCAGGUAAAUCCGGGUUUCUAUUAACACCGAGACGUGAUGACGAGGGCCUAGCCCGAAGUUCAUGAUCCUAUGCUUCCUAGAAAAGCUUCGUAAGGAGAUGAUUAUUAAUCCGUACCGUAAACCGACACAGGUAGAUGGGAUGAGAAUUCUAAGGCGCUUGGGUAAACUCUAGUUAAGGAACUCUGCAAAUUGGUGCUGUAACUUUGGGAUAAGGCACGCCUUUUUUGGUGAUAGAACUUGCUUCUUGAGCUGAAGAGGGCCGCAGUGAAAAGGGGGUAGCGACUGUUUAUCAAAAACAUAGGUCUAUGCAAACUCGUAAGAGGAAGUAUAUGGACUGACGCCUGCCCGGUGCUCGAAGGUUAAGAGGAGAGGUUAGAGCAAUCGAAGCUUUGAAUCGAAGCCCCAGGUAAACGGCGGCCGUAACUAUAACGGUCCUAAGGUAGCGAAAUUCCUAGUCGGGUAAGUUCCGACCUGCACGAAUGGCGUAACGACUUCCCCACUGUCUCAACUGGAGACCCAGUGAAAUUGGAGUGCGCGUGAAGAUACGCGCUACCCGCGGAAGGACGAAAAGACCCCGUGAACCUUCACUGUAGCUUGGCAUUGGUUUUCGAAACACAUUGCGUAGGAUAGGUGGGAGCUUUUGAUCCGUGCAUUCCGGUGUACGAGGAGGCAACCUUGAAAUACCACCCUUUGUGUUUUGGAAUCCUAACCUACGAUCGUAAUCCGGUCGGGGGACAAUGUCUGGUAGGCAGUUUGACUGGGGCGGUCGCCUCCUAAAGAGUAACGGAGGCGCACAAAGGUUCCCUCAAGCCGAAUGGAAACCGGCUGUAGAGUGUAAACGCAUAAGGGAGCUUGACUGCGAGGCAAACAAGCCGAGCAGGUAGGAAACUAGGUGUUAGUGAUCCGGUGGUUCCGAGUGGAAGGGCCAUCGCUCAACGGAUA
rnacentral:rRNA from 1 species